AUGACUAAGUACGAGAAAUAUAAUGACCGUAAGUGAAAGUAACUCUAUUGUGAUUGGUUUCGCAACAACAAAGGUUACAACCGAUAGGAAGUGGAUUAAUUGAGAACUGCUUUCACAAUGCAGGCAAUGUUGCCAGAGUUGGCCUUCUAAACUUCUAUAUCUAUAUAUCAGCUGCUAUCAUUUUCCAAAGUUUGCGCUUAAAUAAAUUUAGAAAAUGAAGGUGCAUGUAUGAAAGUAAACUGGAACGCAUUACCUAUGCAUAUACUCACUAUGCAUUGCGUAUAUACCUACCUACAUAGUGCAAUUACGAUAGGAAGUGAAGGGCACCGUUACACAUCAACAAUAGAAGUAGGUAUUACAUUCAUAACAUAUCCAAGUGAGUACCAUUUCCUAUUGAAAUAUUCCAUUAUUGCUUGGCGUGGAUCGUAAAAAAGCAAAAACUCAGACCGUUUACAUUCGAGUCACGGACCUAGUCGCUUCCUAGCCACAAACCUGAAUGUUUAGGUGCAAAAAAAUGCUCACUUCACCUGCUCUAGUGGGGAAUCGCAGCUGUAUUGGAAAAGUCUCACCUGCUCGGUCUGGUCAGAACACACUGUCCACUAGUAAAUAGGCAGGAUUGAUGAAGAAAUCCCCUAUCGCAUUCAAUUGAUUGAUUAGGUACAUGCCGGCGCUAAGUACUACUCGUAUAAGAUUAAAAACACUUAAUGUUUGGAACAAAGUACCAGGAAUCAAUUAUAUGGCAAGAAAACAUCAGUGCGAGCAGUAUACCUACUAAAUUAAAUGCCCCCGAUGUGUAUAAAUUGAGCACGACGGUACAUGCCGGUGAAUAUUUUAUGGACCGAUUUACCAUAGAGCCUUGAAAGUGUCGAGUGGAGGCAGAAAAUAAUCGACCAACGUAACGUGUAAUUUUACUUAUUCUGGAAAUUAAAAUGUAUUUAUAAAU